rnacentral:rRNA from 1 species
CUCUCAGAGCGAACGCUGGCGGCAGGCCUAACACAUGCAAGUCGAACGGACCCUUCGGGGUUAGUGGCGGACGGGUGAGUAACACGUGGGAACGUGCCUUUAGGUUCGGAAUAGCUCCUGGAAACGGGUGGUAAUGCCGAAUGUGCCCUUCGGGGGAAAGAUUUAUCGCCUUUAGAGCGGCCCGCGUCUGAUUAGCUAGUUGGUGAGGUAAUGGCUCACCAAGGCGACGAUCAGUAGCUGGUCUGAGAGGAUGACCAGCCACAUUGGGACUGAGACACGGCCCAAACUCCUACGGGAGGCAGCAGUGGGGAAUCUUGCGCAAUGGGCGAAAGCCUGACGCAGCCAUGCCGCGUGAAUGAUGAAGGUCUUAGGAUUGUAAAAUUCUUUCACCGGGGACGAUAAUGACGGUA